GCCUUGUUUUUAAAAAACAUGUCUUAAUGAAAAUUUAAUAUUAAGUCUGUCCUGCUCAAUGAUUAAAAUAAUUAAAUAGCCGCAGUAUUUUGACUGUGCGAAGGUAGCAUAAUCAUUUGUCUUUUAAUUGAAGGCUUGUAUGAAUGGUUUGAUGAGGGAAUAACUUUCUUUAUAUUAAAUAUUGAAUUUAAUUUUUUAGUUAAAAGGCUAAAAUUAUUAAAUGGGACGAGAAGACCCUAUAGAAUUUUAUUUUUAUUAUAAUAAUUUAAAUUAUUGGUUAUUAAAUAUUUAUUUAUUAUACUAAGAAUUUUGUUGGGGUGACAUUGAGAUUUUUUUAACUCUCAUAUUAUUAUUCUUAUUAAUAUGUAUAUAUAGGAUCCUAUUUUAUGGAUAUAUAGAUUAAAUUACCUUAGGGAUAACAGCGUAAUUUUUCUGGAGAGUUCUUAUUGAUGGAAAAGUUUGCGACCUCGAUGUUGGAUUAAAAUUAGAUUUAAGUGCAGAAGCUUAAAUUUCUAGGUCUGUUCGACCUUUAAAUUUUUACAUGAUCUAGUUCCAAACCGGAA
rnacentral:rRNA from 1 species